rnacentral:lncRNA from 1 species
ACUUCCAUUGCACCCAUUUGAAUUCAUUAGAAGGAACUUCUCAUGAAUUUUUUUCUCACGCCAAGCCCUCUCCAUGCCCCACUUUAAUGUGCCAAUUGAAUGGAUAAGGAUGAUUGGUUGGCCAUUUAAAUUCAAAAUAAAGUUUGAAUUUGAAUGGGCAAUCAAUCUUUGCGCCUUAUCCCUUUUUUAACGCCUCAUUUAUUACAUGAGAAGAUGUUUCUCAUGAAAUCACUCCAUGCAUAAUUUAAGCCACGCCUCACGCCUUUAGUGGAUAAGGAAUGAGUUGGUGUCCAUUUGAAUUCAAAAUUUGAUUUGAAUUCAAAUGUGUAAUUACUCAUCUUUAUCCUUUCUUUUGGAUAAGACGUUUGAUGUUGUUAUAAAAGGAGGAGAUGAGUGGGGCGUGGAAGAAGAAGAUUUUUGGAAAAAAAUUUUGGGGCGUGAGGAUGUCUUGUGCAUGAGAAGGAAGUUCAUAUCCUUCCAAGAGAAAAAGAAAGAAAAGAAAGAAAAGUGGGUGCAAGGUUUCUGGUGAGUUCCCUAGAGUUUUAGCCUGGGGUUCAGGAAGUGAGAAAGUGAGCUACGAGUGUCGUGAGCCCAUAAAAUCUCAGAGAGAUCUUCAACAUCCUCUCAAACAUAUUUGUUGAUGAUCCAGAGCAUCCAAAAAAUCGACAGACAUCGAUCGAAGGAGUCGAU